AAACGUAGGAGGCUAGCGUUAUCCGGAUUUAUUGGGCGUAAAGCGCGUGCAGGCGGUCUAUCAAGUUGGAUGUGAAAGCUCCUGGCUUAACUGGGAGAGGUCGUUCAAAACUGAUAGACUAGAGAAUGGUAGAGGGAGGUGGAAUUCCGGGUGUAGUGGUGAAAUGCGUAGAUAUCCGGAGGAACACCAGUGGCGAAAGCGGCCUCCUGGGCCAUUUCUGACGCUAAGACGCGAAAGCUAGGGUAGCAAACGGGAUUAGAGACCUCGGUAGUCCUAGCCGUAAACGAUGUGGACUUGGCGUUGGCGGAGUUAAAUCUGCCAGUGCCGUAGCUAACGCGAUAAGUCCACCGCCUGGGGACUACGACCGCAAGGUUAAA
rnacentral:rRNA from 1 species